CUCGUCGUUUAGAAUGUGUUUUGAUUGUAUAUUAAACAAGUAGAGUGUGUUUUUUUGAUCAGCUGGUGACGUUCAGCUGUUGCUGAUUCUGCAUAAGCCUUUAGUUUACAAACUGUAUAUGUAAAUAAUCUAAAUUAUUCCUGGAUUUUUUUU